UACGUAGGGUGCAAGCGUUGUUCGGAAUCAUUGGGCGUAAAGGGCGCGUAGGUGGUUCUGUAUGUCUACCGUGAAAGCGUACGGCUCAACCGUAUUUUGUCGGUAGAAACUGCAGGACUUGAGGCUGGGAGGGGCUGGUGGAAUUCCCUGUGUAGCGGUGAAAUGCGUAGAGAUGGGGGAGAACACUCGUGGCGAAGGCGGCCAGCUAGACCAGUUCUGACACUGAGGCGCGACAGCGUGGGGAGCAAACAGG
rnacentral:rRNA from 1 species